AACGAACGCUGGCGGCAUGCCUAACACAUGCAAGUCGAACGAUGCUUUCGGGCAUAGUGGCGCACGGGUGCGUAACGCGUGGGAAUCUGCCCUUGGGUUCGGAAUAACAGUGAGAAAUUGCUGCUAAUACCGGAUGACGUCUUCGGACCAAAGAUUUAUCGCCCAGGGAUGAGCCCGCGUAGGAUUAGCUAGUUGGUGGGGUAAUGGCCUACCAAGGCGACGAUCCUUAGCUGGUCUGAGAGGAUGAUCAGCCACACUGGGACUGAGACACGGCCCAGACUCCUACGGGAGGCAGCAGUGGGGAAUAUUGGACAAUGGGCGCAAGCCUGAUCCAGCAAUGCCGCGUGAGUGAUGAAGGCCUUAGGGUUGUAAAGCUCUUUUACCCGGGAUGAUAAUGACAGUACCGGGAGAAUAAGCUCCGGCUAACUCCGUG
rnacentral:rRNA from 1 species